GUGCCACGUGAGUCAUCACCCCUCCUGUCCUGUCCCCCGCUCUCUCUCUCCUCUCUCCCCGUUUCGGAUCCGGCGAGAGACCAGUCCAGCCCAGCCCAGAGCCAAGCCCAAGCCCGCACGCCGAUGGCGACCGACGCCGACGAGGCCCCGUUGCUCGCCGACGAGCCCCUGCGGCCGGGAUCCUGCAGCCGGGAGCUCGAGCUGCGGGAGUUCCGCGACCGCUACGUCUUCCGCUCGCUCGACGGCGGCGGCGCCUUCGCCGUCGCCCGCUCCGACGGCUCCCUCCGCCCCCUCUCCCCAGAGGAAGCCGCAGCCGGGAGCGACUGUAAGGUCUCCAAGAUAUACGGAGUGGCCGGUAUGAUCAGGUUGCUCGCCGAAACGAGAUGAGGCAUACUUCAUGUCUCUCUUGAGAAUUGCAGAAACUACUUGUGGACUUUAUUAUUCGUAUGACAGGGAUUUGACAUUAAACUUGCAGAGGGCAUCAAAGCUGGCUGCGGGGAGGGUACAUAAGCCACUAUGGAAGCAGGCUGAUCCACGGUUUGUUUGGAACAGGAAUUUGUUAGAGAAGCUUAUUGAAACUAAGCUUGAUGAGUUCAUUACCCCACUGAUCCAAGGAAGUUUUCAGACAGAGCAAUUUACCUUGAAGGAUAGACUAGUCAGAAUAACUUUAUUCUCUCAGAGAUGCAACAGGCGUUUAGGGACAAGAAUGUGGAGAAGGGGUGCAAAUCUUGAAGGUGCCACCGCCAAUUUUGUCGAGACAGAACAGCUGGUUGAGUAUGAAGGUUAGGGGCUCUAUUCCACUUCUCUGGGAGCAGAUAGUGGAUUUAAGCUACAAACCACGACCCAGCAUUAUUGAACAUGAAGAAAUGACGAAGGUUGUUGAGCGCCACUUUCACGAUCUUUCACAAAGAUAUGGAGAUACAAUGGUUAUUGAUCUGACCGAUAAACAAGGUGAUGAAGGAAAUUUAAGCAAUGCAUUUGCUGCUGAAAUGCAGAACUUUCCUGAUAUCAGGUAUGUGCACUUUGAUUUCCAUCAUAUUUGUGGCGGAGGGAACUUUGAUAACUUGCAAGUUCUCUAUGAUGAAAUUGAGGAAGCUAUUCAGAAACAAGGAUAUUUCCUUAUGAACUCUAAAGGAGAGAUAUUGUUGGACCAAAGUGGCGUCGUUAGGUCCAACUGCAUAGAUUGCCUGGACCGCACAAAUGUGACGCAGAGUUUCCUUGCAAGAAAAUCUUUGGACUCACAGCUGCAGCGAAUGGGGGCAUUAUCAUCAGCUGAAAGUAUCUCUCAAUCUGAUAGCAUUAACGAUAAAUUUAAAAAAUUGUGGGUUGAGCAUGGUGAUGAGCUAAGCCUUGAAUAUGCUGGUUCUUAUGCCUUAAAGGGAGACCUUGUAAGGUAUGGAAGGCAGACACUGCCUGGAUUGAUUAAAGAUGGCAUGAGCGCUCUUUCCCGGUAUUAUUUGAACAAUUCUCAUGAUGGAGUGCGACAAGAUGCUCUAGAUCUUAUCAGUGGUUACUAAACGGUCAGCAAAAGCAGUUCUUCUCCUUUUCAAAUCAUUGGAUUUGAAUCUGCACCAUAUCUUCCUGUGGCGUCGGCAAUCAUAGUUGGUGGGAUCACUGUCACAACUUUCACUCUUAGUCAAGUUGGACGGAGCGCACAACACCUCAUCUCGUCCAUCAUCUUUGCUGGCUUGACAGCCGGAGUGAUAGCCUUGGUGAAAGCGAAUGGGAAGCAGCUCUGCUCUAGACCCCGAUUAUGCGGUCUGAUCUAGUUGGCGGUCCCUUUUCUCUUGUCCAGUUCUCAGAGCUUUGUUGCUGGAAUCUGAAUGGGUAUGAAGUGUUGAUAGCAAGCUACGUGUCCGCUGUCAGCGUAGAUAGAUUAAGCAAGGGAAAGGUUGGCUUGCUGGUCCGGUUAAUCUGAAGUAAAUUUUGUAACACCUGGUUAGAUUGUCUGGUUUCCUGGUAAAUAGUGGAUUGUGCAGUCAGAGACACGCCAUCUUGUAGUAAUGAAAAUUAAGGUUAAAUUGUAACAUUGAAUUCUACCGCACAGUUUCUGUAUCUUAAACUUGUGAAAUUGUCUACACAGAAUUUAAAAUUACUGAAUUCGACAGGCAUACUCCAGAGUGAGAGGUUGGCUCUUGUAUAAUGCCAGCUUAACCAAGGACAGACAGGCGUAAGCUGCCCAAAAAUAAGCGCUCCCGAGAUAGUGGUGGCAGGCCACGGUUCAAGGCUAUCAACAAAACAGGUAGCCAGCAAAAAAAAGACCGUCCCUGUUUUGCUCUCUUUCAUCCCUCUCUUUGCCGGCUGCCAUCCACAUUGGGAUCUCGAAUUCACCUUGGAUUUUGUAGCGUAGGGC
rnacentral:rRNA from 1 species